GCAUUGUUUUUCAAAUACAAGUUUCCCGGGAAAGUAAUUUUCAAGGACCACUUCCGGGUUGGAUCGCGUUGGGCUCCUGAGCAACACGGGGCGCUGACUGGCACGUGAUCGCCGUCUCUUGUGCAGUGCCGGAAAGCUUAGAAAAAAAAUUCUGCCAAACCGAGGAAGCCGAUGUUUGGAGGCGGGAGUUCACCAGAAUACGGUUUCUUAUUUCCAUAGAUAAAGCUACCCUUGUGAUGUGACGUUAUAUUGUGAUUCCUGCUCAUAGAAUUUAGAAUAGAACCUCUGAUUUGUUAUAAAUAGGGAAACCCAACAUGGAGUCACAGUGGCCAGUGUGGCACCCAUCUUGAUUGUUUCUAAAGAUCUGAUGUAAGGCUCUUUGCUGCUGGGGUUGUAACUUUUGCACUCUAGGGAUUGUACCUCACAAAAGACAGGGUCUGAGUGCAGUUGCUGGAGAAGGGUCUCGAUGGACCGCAUGCACUACGCUCGCUGGAGACUGCCCGUGUCAGAAGCUGCCGGAGUAGAAGCCCAUCUCUUCUCUUCUCCAUCCUGCACCAUGAGAGGCUCUGCAUGUGUGUGGCCACCCAGCCCCCAAGUGCAAGGGUAGUCACCCGCUCUCCAGUGAGCAGUCACCCCCAAUAGCCCUAAAGGGAGGACACACGCUGGGAAGAGACUGGCUCAGGUAUGGAAACAGGCUUGGGGUGGUAUGGGCAGGGAAUUCCGAGUCCUGGGCACCGUAGUGUGGUGCGGAGGGCUGCAGGAACCCCUCAGCUCCAUUGCCUCUUCACACCUGGUGCAGGGUGCAGUCAGGGCACCGAGCCCAGGGCAGGGACCCCUUUCACCAAGGUCUAAGGGCAUUGUUGCUUAUUAUGCUGUAUACAACCUUGUCGAUCUUGCUAAAUCCAUUAAAAUGAUCUCUGGGGCUUCCCUGGUGGCGCAGUGGUUGGGAG